rnacentral:rRNA from 1 species
CCAGACUCCUACGGGAGGCAGCAGUAGGGAAUAUUGCUCAAUGGGGGAAACCCUGAAGCAGCAACGCCGCGUGGAGGAUGAAGGUUUUCGGAUUGUAAACUUCUUUUGUCAGGGACGAAGCAAGUGACGGUACCUGACGAAUAAGCCACGGCUAACUACGUGCCAGCAGCCGCGGUAAUACGUAGGUGGCAAGCGUUAUCCGGAUUUAUUGGGUGUAAAGGGCGUGUAGGCGGGAAUGCAAGUCAGAUGUGAAAACUAUGGGCUCAACCCAUAGCCUGCAUUUGAAACUGUAUUUCUUGAGUGCUGGAGAGGCAAUCGGAAUUCCGUGUGUAGCGGUGAAAUGCGUAGAUAUACGGAGGAACACCAGUGGCGAAGGCGGAUUGCUGGACAGUAACUGACGCUGAGGCGCGAAAGCGUGGGGAGCAAACAGGAUUAGAUACCCUCGUAU